GAUCUAAAGCUCGCCGACAAAAAGCCGAAGCGAAAAUUAACGUUUAACGCUAAUUUGGUAUUCCCUCCGCUUCGAUAGCCCGCGGCGGCCAACCGAUUCGAUGCACGUGAAGCCGAUUCCAGCCGGUUCCGAGCCCCCCGUAAAAAACAAGCAGAUACGAAAGAAAUACCUCUCCACUUAACGACGGAUUACGGGGGUGAGCGACGGAGUCGCAAGGGUAAAUUUGCCAACUACCCAAGUAAUUAAGGGCAACCCAAUUGGGGAUUCUGGGUCACUUCCCCGUCCUAAAGUGGAGAGAAAAAGAAACGAGGGAGAAACGCACGAAGUCGCUUACCGCGAAGUCGUCCUGAACAAACUUUUCGCAGUCUUCCAGCCACGCCGUUAUAUCGCAAUGAGAAGAUCAAGCUAAGUCUGCGACGUGAUUUCGUAUCAAUGCGAUACUAUCGAGCAGUUUGGUCACAAAAAAGCGCGCCACAGACGGCCCUGAUGGUCUCGAUUCGAUUGUUCUGAUUGCCGGCAUGAUGGACGAAGAUUUACGGCAAUUAGAAUCGGACAAAGGGGAAGCGACUCGUCUGAAAUGUUCCGUAUGUUUCUGCAGAGUCGAUCAGGUAUCAGACUGUCGAUUCUGAGACGAUAAAAUCAGAAGUGCCAGAUGGUGUGGAAAACUCCUCGUUACAGACUGCGACGGUCGACGGAACGCAAGAGGAUAGGUUGGCGGAGGCAGCUGAAAGAUCCGAGCUUGAUGAGGAGAAAAACGAAAGAUACCAAACAGCCGUAUUUACAUUGGCUACGUUCGCCGCAGUUUUCGUGCUCUACGUUUACGUGGUAUACAGCUUGAGCAGCCCACCCACUUUGUUUCGAUGUUAAUUCCCGUUUAAUCAACUAAUUCGAAAAUAAAGUAUUACGCGGCUUACGAGUUAUCGGAUUAAACGCAAAAAAAAAAUUAUUCUUUCUAAAAUUUUAUGGGGAAAAUUAUAUAAUAUUUUGCAAAAUCAA